UAGGGAAUCUUCGGCAAUGGACGGAAGUCUGACCGAGCAACGCCGCGUGAGUGAAGAAGGUUUUCGGAUCGUAAAGCUCUGUUGUAAGAGAAGAACGAGUGUGAGAGUGGAAAGUUCACACUGUGACGGUAUCUUACCAGAAAGGGACGGCUAACUACGUGCCAGCAGCCGCGGUAAUACGUAGGUCCCGAGCGUUGUCCGGAUUUAUUGGGCGUAAAGCGAGCGCAGGCGGUUAGAUAAGUCUGAAGUUAAAGGCUGUGGCUUAACCAUAGUACGCUUUGGAAACUGUUUAACUUGAGUGCAAGAGGGGAGAGUGGAAUUCCAUGUGUAGCGGUGAAAUGCGUAGAUAUAUGGAGGAACACCGGUGGCGAAAGCGGCUCUCUGGCCUGUAACUGACGCUGAGGCUCGAAAGCGUGGGGAGCAAACAGGAUUAGAUACCCUGGUAGUCCACGCCGUAAACGAUGAGUGCUAGGUGUUAGACCCUUUCCGGGGUUUAGUGCCGCAGCUAACGCAUUAAGCACUCCGCCUGGGGAGUACAANCCGCAAGGUUG
rnacentral:rRNA from 1 species